AAUAUCACUAUGUAGCCAGCAGGAGACCUGAAAGGAUCCAAAAUCUCGGUUAUAAAGAGAACUCAGCUCUUUCCUUCAGGGCCCCAUACAUAGGUGGAACAUGGUAGAAAACGGAAAUGUCACCUCUCCAUCCUGAAUGCACAAACAGGAGUUGCAGUGGUGGGCAGAACCUAGACACUCCCCCAAGGCAGCCUGGGGACUUCACACCUACCUGGCACAAGCACUGAGAACAUCCGGGCUGGUUCCAGCGGCUGCCUGAUUCAUACGUGGCUCCCAGGUGCCAACAGGAAGAGGACCCUGCUCCCAGCUUUGGGCUUUCAGGACCCCUAGGCAAUAGCUGGCGACAGUGAAAAGGGAAAGGACUGCAUAAAGAAGUUGAAGAAUGGGGCUGGAGAGCCAUCUCAGAGGUUAAGGGCACAGGCUUCUCUUGCAGAGGAGCUGGUUCUGUUCCCAGCAGUCACAUGGUGACUCAUACAAUCCACAGCCCCAGUCCCAGGAGGUCACUUCUUGGCCCUUCUGGAGCAUGUGGUACACAUACAAACCAGCAGGCAAAACCCUUAUAAUAUACAUAAAAUAAAUCUUUCUAAAAGCCCCAA
rnacentral:lncRNA from 1 species